rnacentral:rRNA from 1 species
GAUGAACGCUGGCGGCGUGCCUAAUACAUGCAAGUCGAGCGAACAGACGAGGAGCUUGCUCCUCUGACGUUAGCGGCGGACGGGUGAGUAACACGUGGAUAACCUACCUAUAAGACUGGGAUAACUUCGGGAAACCGGAGCUAAUACCGGAUAAUAUAUUGAACCGCAUGGUUCAAUAGUGAAAGACGGUUUUGCUGUCACUUAUAGAUGGAUCCGCGCCGCAUUAGCUAGUUGGUAAGGUAACGGCUUACCAAGGCAACGAUGCGUAGCCGACCUGAGAGGGUGAUCGGCCACACGGGAACUGAGACACGGUACAGACUCCUACGGGAGGCAGCAGUAGGGAAUCUUCCGCAAUGGGCGAAAGCCUGACGGAGCAAAGCCGCGGGAGUGAUGAAGGUCUUCGGAUCGUAAAACUCUGUUAUUAGGGAAGAACAAAUGUGUAAGUAACUAUGCACGUCUUGACGGUACCUAAUCAGAAAGCCACGGCUAACUACGUG